GAGGAGAAGGGAAAGGAACAUCAAUGUGAGAGAGAAACAUCCAUGGUUGCCUUCUGCCAUCUGCAAGUGCCCCGUGCGGGCAUAGUGCAGAGCCCACAGCCCAGGCAUGUGCCCUGAGUAGGAAUCGAACCUGAGACCUUUUGGUUUGCAGAGCAAUGCCCAACCAACUGAGCCAUGCUGGCCAGGGCUCCACAUGACUUUUAAUUCUUGUAUCUCAAGAUGGUGAGACAAGCAUGGUCAAAUAUACAAACUGACUAGCUGAAGCAGUGAGUGCACAGCAAUAAACAGCAUAAGAGAGGCCGAUGGUCCUGAAUUAUUUACAAAGAACUCUCAGGUUCCUAAUCAUCCAUUCUUCCCUCCAGUGGACUUGGAGACUCAAGCAGACUCUCCUCUCGAUGUUCCAGAAGGGUGACUCUCAGAGUAGGGAUGUCCUUGUGCAGCUGUCUUCAGCUUUGUAAAUAAAGUAUCUCAAGAAACAGGUUUCUGGUUGCAAGGUCAGAGCAAUAGCGAUAAUAAAGAAAUAUAACUUCUUAUUAAAAUGAUCUGAGAGCAAGCACCCAAGAAACUCGUCCUUCCAAACCAUGGAAGGUAUCUUCAACAGUCCUAUUCCAUUUAUAGACUCUGUGGAAGGAACCAUUCUUAUAGCAUGAUGCCAAAAUUAUUUUAGCUCACACACAAACAAGUUGUUCUGUAAUUCUGCUUUUGACCUCUUCAUAUUAGGAAGAAAUUAAGAAAAAUAUAGCACCACCAAUUUGUUAUGUAACCACUUUGAAAAUGUUUACUCUGAGUGCUUAAAACGUCAUGACUAAAGAAACCACUGGUCUGUGUAAUCCACUCUUGACAAUGAAUCAUAACUGUGUCACACUUGGAAUUGGCUAAUCUUUGCUCCAAUCAGGUAGAGGAAUGUAUUUGCAACUUCAAAGCAGGUAUUGCUUCAUGACCAAUACAACAACAAGUCUGUGGCUUUGAAGUCUUCUACCUUUGAGACUGUCACCAUCUACUUAAACUUUUUGAAUUUGCUUUUAGUUUUUGCCCUUGGCCUUGUUCCCUUGGCCACCUAUAAACCCUCAGAGAGCAGGGGACAACCUUCCAACUUGCCCCCAUUUCCUCGGUCCCUGCUAAAUGAUCAGCAAUCACCCGAAAACAAUUCUGAGUGUACACCCAUGGAGUCUGAUGGGGUGAGGGUUGCUGCAUUGUCACUGGUACCCAGUGUCUGGGCCUUGUCUACUGACUGACUUUUGGUUCAUUCCUUUUGCAACUUUUGGUCUUGAUUCAUAGUUUCUGAUUCAUGUCUGACUCUGAGAUCCUCCCCUUUGCAAGAGCUACACAGUCAAGUGGACCUGGUGCUCUAACCCGUAACAAAUGUUUGUGAACCAUAAUACUGUAGGAAGAGCUGAGAACUAACCAAGCAGUAGCAACUAGCCCUCAUGUUGCAUAAGCAUUCUCCCAAACAGAAUCGCUUUUUCUAAACAUAGCCUGGCAAAGAGCCACUGAAAAUAUCAUCACCAUUACUUUUGCCAUACGGUGAGGAGGACUGACACUCCGUUUGCCUAAAUCACGUUGCAGUGUGCCAACAUUGCAAGUCAGUGCCCAGUUAGUUACCAGGAAGUAAGACAAUCCUACCUGUGGGUAUCUAGAACACUGAGAGGUCAGGCUGGUAAUCCAGGGCCAUAAUUUAACACCACCAAAUAUUUAUCUGUUUGGGUAAGCAUCCUUCCGAUCUCCUUUCCAAUACCCACAAAAUUAUAGUUAGUCCCCGCUAAUUUAUAUUCCAAUUCUCUACUCUAGAAACCCACAGCUAACUGUUAUUUGUUGUUUAACCCAAGAAAAAAAAUUAUAUUGCCUGCACGUCUUUGCAUAACAUACCUUAAAUAGGAGAAUAAACGCACUACAAACCAUUAUCACUCCAAAACGUGAGACACAAAUUGAAGUUAGGUGAUUUAGUUCUAACACUUAGAUGUGUUUUUCAUUGAUUCAACCUAUGUGGAUCUCUGUUUCUCUUUUAUAAAAUUAGUUCUUUAGAUCUCACGGGAUUGUCAUGAGAUGAAGUAUGAGAUAUUAUUAUUAUUUAUGUAUUUACGCUGUGUGUAUGAGCUGAUGUAUGGAAUUACUGAUAUCACUCACUUCCUUUCCCGUUGGCCUGUAAACCUGACAUUACAGGAAAACUUGCCUUCCCCAAAACAUGAUUCCCUUCAGUCUGUGGACACCUCCCUUCCCUCCUCAGUGCAGCCUUUCAGUUCAUCUGACUUAUACAAGUGAGUAGACCAGCAGUCCCUAAAUCAUUUCAUUCACACUUCCCUAUCUGUUAAACACACUGAGUGUGUAUGCCCAGCAUUUCUUUAUUUAUAAAUUAAAUGGGGCGCUAAGGCACUGAUAUAUUAUGUGCAAAAUAAACUAGACAUAAAAAUAGAAAGGGGUGAGAUUAAAAAAAUAGGUAGACAGAUGUCCAGAGAGCAGUUUCCAUAUUUCUUUCCCACAGCCCACCAGAUACCUUCUGUGCCAAGAAGCAUUUUUGUUAGUGGUCUUUACUGUAGAAGAAUUUCCCAUUGCUGAAAAGUUAAAAGGCAGAAGUAAACAUCACUUUUAGUGUAAAUACUUAGAGUUACCUAUUUUAGCAGUGUGGCAUCCCACAACAGGUUUCAUUAAAAUGCGGGCACCCAGAAGCAGCCCUCCGAAUAUCAGUGCAAACAAACCCGCCCCCAGAAAGACAUGGGGAUGUUAAAAAGACACUUCAGGCCCACAGUGGAGUCACCAUAACUCACAGCCUAACCCAAUGCUAGUUUCAGCCUCUCCCAGAAGUGAAAUUUUAAGCCAAUCAGUCCGGAAUUUCCUGGUCAGCCCUAGGGAGGUCAUCUGCCUGGUAAGACCCUCUGCCUUCCCGCAUGGGGAGGGAGACCUUGCUGAAAGAAUCCACUCCUUUAGUGUUCUUGCCUUGCCCCUGUUCCUGCCUAUAGAAGCCUCCCACCUGGUUCAGCUCCUCAGAGCAGCUUUGUGUUUACUAGAUGCGAUGCUGCCAAACUCAUGAGUCAUUCAAGAACAUCAACUCGAUCUUUAAAUUAACUCAGUUGGAUAAUUGUUCAACACGUGAAUUUUUUAACUUCCCCCGAUGUGUUUCUUUCCAACACGACAGCAAAUGCUGAAUGGCUGUCCUAUAAAUUUAACUCAGUUCCGAAAUCAUUUCAGAUCCCCCCAGGGCUAAGGGCUUGGUCUCACAAGACUGCCCCACUCAGAUGCCAACUGCAAGUCCAGGUGGUCCCCUGUGCUUCUGACCCCUGGCUAGAAGUCGGAGUUUCCCGUGACUUCUUUCUCAGGUUCCUGCUCCAGAGGCUGAGUUUCAAACCUCUGGUCACUUGGUCCUUCUGGUGACCAGCCCCAGUCUGAGGCAAUGUAGGGGCCCCCUUCUGUCACUUUUUCACGUAAACUCACGUGGGCUCCAAAGGGUCUUCUCAUGAACAGCAAAAGAUACUCACAUCACUCCAGAAAGUCCAAGAGUUUUAAGAGCUUUGUGUCAGGAACCAGGGCCAAAGACCACAUUUUCAACUAUAAAGGGUAAUUCAGACACAGAAAGCUGAAUGACAUAAAUUCAUAAUUCCAUAAAUAUUAAAAGUACACAUUCUUUAAACCACUAACUACCUCGGUCAGGAAAAAGAAUUCUGCCAAGCACCCCUCCCAAACCUGACCUUUCCUUUAGCUGGUACAGGGAAGGAAGGGAAAAUACUCCAUUCUUUCCCUGUAUUUACCUAUUUUAAUGAAACACUGAGUUGUUUUCCUGGAAUCCUGCAGAGGUAAUCAAAUAGAUCUCUGUUUCUGUUUUAAUUACGAAUUCAUGUAUUUCCAUUCAUUACAGUUAUCAAGUUUUCUCAUCUUUGGCCUGGCCUUUUUAGGUUGGCUCCCAAGGCCUUGCCACAAGAUCUUAGGGACCUCUGAGAGCCUCCUUGCUGUCUGACACGGCUGUCUGAUAUGGCAAUGUUUUCCAGGGUUAGCUGGUACGUUUCCUGGGCCAGACUUGGAGUUAGCCAUAUCUCUAAAAGGCUGGUUUCUUUUAGUGAUUGAAAAGUUCAACAAUUGAUGGGCUCCCAUCUUUCAGACACAAGUGAUGAUCAAUUGGGAGAUCCCGGUAGCCAUGAGCACUGUGUGCUGGGCACUCCUUGACAACCUGGAGAAUGAAACAUUCAGACGGGUUGCCAGAAGGCCCUUAGGUGCUAAAGAGGAACCAGAGAGAAAGAAAAGAAACAGAACAGAAAGCACCAGCUUUUUUUUUUGAGGUCCCCAGUGUGCUAGAUAUUUUGGUGGUAUUUCCACUCAUGUUAUUUCAUUUGAUUUAAUCUAAUCCUCACCGAGAACUUCGGAAGUAGGAUGUAAACCCAGGUCUUCCUAAACCCUGUGCUCAUUUCACUUGGAAUUGUGAGAAAUUUAAUCCCUGUGAAGGAAUAGGAAUUAAUUAAAGUGCAACAGAGGAGAGAAAACUACAUCAGCAUUACAGAGCUUUGUGAAGUCUUCUUGGUUUUGUCAAAAUUUUGCUGUUUGGUUGGACCCUCGAAAUAAGGUGAUGAAAAUCAUUAGAAUGCAAAAGAUGACAUAGGUAAAAAUAAAAAGCAUAGAAAAAAUAAAUUUCCUAAAAUGUAUUGCAAAAGAAGUAUAUUUAAUAAUAUACUGCCCAAGUAGACAAGUUAGAAGACAAAGAAAUAGCCCCCUAAGAAGUUAUUAAUUUAAAUAGCAGUAUAUAGUAACUUCAUAGGUAGCAUGAUUCAAGAAUUUCCUGGUUAAAAUUCUGAGUCAUUAACAUUAAUCAUGAUGAUGAUCCAAAUAAUACCAAACCCUGAUUGUAUACCAUGCACCAUGCUAGGCAUUUUACACUUGACAUAUGUUAAUUGUUUAAUUACUCAUGACAACCCUGUUAAGUAGGUGUCUUUAUAGCCAUUUUAUAAUUGAUAAAGUUGAAACCCAGUCUGGCCAUAAACAUGGCCAGUGUCGCACAGCUCCUGAAUAUCAGGGCUAGGGCGGAACUCAGACCAGUCUGACUUCCCAGCACCAGCGGUGCUUUCACCGAUCUUCACAGUUCUGUGUCAGGUGUACUUUUGUGCUGCAACCCCAGAUGCAUGGCUCCAAAAUAAUACACAACCUGCAAACAAAGGCAUUUUUAAAUGGAAAAGAUCAGGAGGAACUGGACAGUCUGUCGUUAGAGAUCUCUGGACAAAAAUAACGCUGGGAUCAGGUCACACUUGAAUCAAUUUAGGGAAAGAACAGAAAUAUAGUCAGGUAUUCCUGUCACCACUAUCCCUAAACAGAGAAUGUAAAUCUCAAUUUGCAUAUUACAUGGCUGCUUACUACAAUUUCAACACAAUCAAACAAAAUAAUUAUAUAGAAACAAAAACAAUCCACCAUAUCAGCAAAUGCAUGAAAUAUGAUGCAUAAAUUUUAAUUUGAAAUAUAGCUUUUU